rnacentral:rRNA from 1 species
GAUGAACGCUGGCGGCGUGCCUAAUACAUGCAAGUCGAGCGAACAGACGAGGAGCUUGCUCCUCUGACGUUAGCGGCGGACGGGUGAGUAACACGUGGAUAACCUACCUAUAAGACUGGGAUAACUUCGGGAAACCGGAGCUAGUACCGGAUAAUAUAUUGAACCGCAUGGUUCAAUAGUGAAAGACGGUUUUGCUGUCACCUAUAGAUGGAUCCGCGCCGCAUUAGCUAGUUGGUAAGGUAACGGCUUACCAAGGCAACGAUGCGUAGCCGACCUGAGAGGGUGAUCGGCCACACUGGAACUGAGACACGGUCCAGACUCCUACGGGAGGCAGCAGUAGGGAAUCUUCCGCAAUGGGCGAAAGCCUGACGGAGCAACGCCGCGUGAGUGAUGAAGGUCUUCGGAUCGUAAAACUCUGUUAUUAGGGAAGAACAAAUGUGUAAGUAACUAUGCACGUCUUGACGGUACCUAAUCAGAAAGCCACGGCUAACUACGUG